UACGUAGGGUGCAAGCGUUAAUCGGAAUACUGGGCGUAAAGCGUGCGCAGGCGGUGAUGUAAGACAGUUGUGAAAUCCCCGGGCUCAACCUGGGAACUGCAUCUGUGACUGCAUCGCUGGAGUGCGGCAGAGGGGGAUGGAAUUCCGCGUGUAGCAGUGAAAUGCGUAGAUAUGCGGAGGAACACCGAUGGCGAAGGCAAUCCCCUGGGCCUGCACUGACGCUCAUGCACGAAAGCGUGGGGA
rnacentral:rRNA from 1 species